rnacentral:rRNA from 1 species
AUUGCUCUAGUAACGGCGAGUGAAGCAGCAAUAGCUCAAAUUUGAAAUCUGGCGUCUUCGACGUCCGAGUUGUAAUUUGUAGAGGAUGCUUCUGAGUAACCACCGACCUAAGUUCCUUGGAACAGGACGUCAUAGAGGGUGAGAAUCCCGUAUGCGGUCGGAAAGGUGCUCUAUACGUAGCUCCUUCGACGAGUCGAGUUGUUUGGGAAUGCAGCUCUAAAUGGGAGGUAAAUUUCUUCUAAAGCUAAAUAUUGGCCAGAGACCGAUAGCGCACAAGUAGAGUGAUCGAAAGAUGAAAAGCACUUUGGAAAGAGAGUUAAAAAGCACGUGAAAUUGUUAAAAGGGAAGGGAUUGCAACCAGACUUGCUCGCGGUGUUCCGCCGGUCUUCUGACCGGUCUACUCGCCGCGUUGCAGGCCAGCAUCGUCUGGUGCCGCUGGAUAAGACUUGAGGAAUGUAGCUCCCUCGGGAGUGUUAUAGCCUCUUGUGAUGCACCGAGCGCCGGGCGAGGUGCGCGCUUCGGCUAGAAUGCUGGCGUAAUGGUCGGAAUCUUCCCGUCUUGAGACACGGACGACAA